rnacentral:rRNA from 1 species
AUGAGGACCAGCCUCCUCCUUGUCGUCGGCGUCGGCAUCGUCAUUUCCUCCAUCAUCAUGGCCGCCACGGCGAUGUCCAUGCCUGGGGCAUGGGAGUACUGUAACGUCGACGCCCUGAAGAUGCAGGAGCUCGGGAAGUGGGCAGUGGCGGAGCACGUCAAGAUGGCGAACGAUGGCAUCCGAUUCAUCGAGGUGUGGGGCUGCGAGGAGCAGGUUGUUCAAGGCGUUAACUACCGCGUCUUCCUCCACGCGUUCCACAAGUCCGGCGAGAAAGGCCGAUUCUAG